rnacentral:lncRNA from 1 species
AAAUUAACCAAAUAUAGCAAAUAGUGGAUUUUAAUUUCAAAUAUCAGUUUUAUAACUUCUUCUUCAAUUACAUUUAUGACAGAUGUCAAAGAUAUAUAUUUUUAAUGGUCCACUGGAUUUUUCCUUUUCAGAUUCCCCAAAGAACACUUCAGUAUCAGUGAGUCCCUCUGGAGACAUAGUGGAGGGCAGUUCAGUGACUCUGACCUGCAACAGCAAAGCCAACCCAGCAGUGGACACAUACACGUGGUUUAAGAAUGGAGCUGAAAUCUCACAGAGAGGAUCAUGGCAGAAUUAUAACAUCAGUAUCAUCAGAUCUGAAGACAGUGGAGAGUAUCACUGUGAAGCAAGUAACAAAGUUGGAACUCAAAAGUCUAAUAAUGUAAUAUUCAACAUUCAUGGGAAGCAGGCAGCUGUCAUAGGGUCAGUUGGUGGAAUAACUGCUGUCGUGGUUCUUGGGGUUCUUAUUGUUGUUGUGUGGAGAAGCAGGGGAAAAUGGUCCAAAGCAACAAAAGAGAUAGGAAGCACACAGCAGGGAGAGCAGGAUGCAGCAAGCCCUGUGUAUGCCAAUGGCUCAGGAAUGCCCAUGAGACCCACUGAUCAACAGGAUUUGACACUAUACUCCACAGUUCAACCUAAUUCCAAGAGCAAUAAAGAUGUUCUGUAUUCCACGGUGCAGCAAGCAUACUCCCACAAUGAGGAUGAGCUUCAGUACUGCAGUGUUCAAUUUCCCGCUACCAGUACUGGCAGCAGGUCAGCAGUUCAACAGGUACAAGAUAAUUCUGUCAUCUACAGCACAGUUUCCAAAACAUAAGAAACAAGACUCCUUACAUAUCAGUUGACUUGACACAUUUCAUUGUUUUCAUCCAUAUUUUUGUACUCCAUUAUUGCAUCUACACCCAUUUUACUGUUAUAUCUUACAGCUUAUCUUUUGUAGGUUUACUUUAAUAAAAACCUCAAGGGUAACUAUAGAAAUUGAUAU